rnacentral:rRNA from 1 species
GUCAGGUGUGGAAGUGCAGCAAUGCAUGGAGCUAACUGAUACUAAUGAGCCGUGCGGCUUGACCAUAUAACCCCAAG